rnacentral:rRNA from 1 species
UUAAGCGACUAAGCGUACACGGUGGAUGCCCUGGCAGUCAGAGGCGAUGAAGGACGUGCUAAUCUGCGAUAAGCGUCGGUAAGGUGAUAUGAACCGUUAUAACCGGCGAUUUCCGAAUGGGGAAACCCAGUGUGAUUCGUCACACUAUCAUUAACUGAAUCCAUAGGUUAAUGAGGCGAACCGGGGGAACUGAAACAUCUAAGUACCCCGAGGAAAAGAAAUCAACCGAGAUUCCCCAGUAGCGGCGAGCGAACGGGGAGGAGCCCAGAGCCUGAAUCAGUGUGUGUGUUAGUGGAAGCGUCUGGAAAGGCGCGCGAUACAGGGUGACAGCCCCGUACACAAAAAUGCACAUGCUGUGAGCUCGAUGAGUAGGGCGGGACACGUGGUAUCCUGUCUGAAUAUGGGGGGACCAUCCUCCAAGGCUAAAUACUCCUGACUGACCGAUAGUGAACCAGUACCGUGAGGGAAAGGCGAAAAGAACCCCGGCGAGGGGAGUGAAAAAGAACCUGAAACCGUGUACGUACAAGCAGUGGGAGCACAGAGCAAUCUGUGUGACUGCGUACCUUUUGUAUAAUGGGUCAGCGACUUAUAUUCUGUAGCAAGGUUAACCGAAUAGGGGAGCCGAAGGGAAACCGAGUCUUAACUGGGCGUUAAGUUGCAGGGUAUAGACCCGAAACCCGGUGAUCUAGCCAUGGGCAGGUUGAAGGUUGGGUAACACUAACUGGAGGACCGAACCGACUAAUGUUGAAAAAUUAGCGGAUGACUUGUGGCUGGGGGUGAAAGGCCAAUCAAACCGGGAGAUAGCUGGUUCUCCCCGAAAGCUAUUUAGGUAGCGCCUCGUGAAUUCAUCUCCGGGGGUAGAGCACUGUUUCGGCAAGGGGGUCAUCCCGACUUACCAACCCGAUGCAAACUGCGAAUACCGGAGAAUGUUAUCACGGGAGACACACGGCGGGUGCUAACGUCCGUCGUGAAGAGGGAAACAACCCAGACCGCCAGCUAAGGUCCCAAAGUCAUGGUUAAGUGGGAAACGAUGUGGGAAGGCCCAGACAGCCAGGAUGUUGGCUUAGAAGCAGCCAUCAUUUAAAGAAAGCGUAAUAGCUCACUGGUCGAGUCGGCCUGCGCGGAAGAUGUAACGGGGCUAAACCAUGCACCGAAGCUGCGGCAGCGACACUGUGUGUUGUUGGGUAGGGGAGCGUUCUGUAAGCCUGUGAAGGUGUGCUGUGAGGCAUGCUGGAGGUAUCAGAAGUGCGAAUGCUGACAUAAGUAACGAUAAAGCGGGUGAAAAGCCCGCUCGCCGGAAGACCAAGGGUUCCUGUCCAACGUUAAUCGGGGCAGGGUGAGUCGACCCCUAAGGCGAGGCCGAAAGGCGUAGUCGAUGGGAAACAGGUUAAUAUUCCUGUACUUGGUGUUACUGCGAAGGGGGGACGGAGAAGGCUAUGUUGGCCGGGCGACGGUUGUCCCGGUUUAAGCGUGUAGGCUGGUUUUCCAGGCAAAUCCGGAAAUCAAGGCUGAGGCGUGAUGACGAGGCACUACGGUGCUGAAGCAACAAAUGCCCUGCUUCCAGGAAAAGCCUCUAAGCAUCAGGUAACAUCAAAUCGUACCCCAAACCGACACAGGUGGUCAGGUAGAGAAUACCAAGGCGCUUGAGAGAACUCGGGUGAAGGAACUAGGCAAAAUGGUGCCGUAACUUCGGGAGAAGGCACGCUGAUAUGUAGGUGAAGUCCCUCGCGGAUGGAGCUGAAAUCAGUCGAAGAUACCAGCUGGCUGCAACUGUUUAUUAAAAACACAGCACUGUGCAAACACGAAAGUGGACGUAUACGGUGUGACGCCUGCCCGGUGCCGGAAGGUUAAUUGAUGGGGUCAGCGCAAGCGAAGCUCUUGAUCGAAGCCCCGGUAAACGGCGGCCGUAACUAUAACGGUCCUAAGGUAGCGAAAUUCCUUGUCGGGUAAGUUCCGACCUGCACGAAUGGCGUAAUGAUGGCCAGGCUGUCUCCACCCGAGACUCAGUGAAAUUGAACUCGCUGUGAAGAUGCAGUGUACCCGCGGCAAGACGGAAAGACCCCGUGAACCUUUACUAUAGCUUGACACUGAACAUUGAGCCUUGAUGUGUAGGAUAGGUGGGAGGCUUUGAAGUGUGGACGCCAGUCUGCAUGGAGCCGACCUUGAAAUACCACCCUUUAAUGUUUGAUGUUCUAACGUGGACCCGUGAUCCGGGUUGCGGACAGUGUCUGGUGGGUAGUUUGACUGGGGCGGUCUCCUCCUAAAGAGUAACGGAGGAGCACGAAGGUUGGCUAAUCCUGGUCGGACAUCAGGAGGUUAGUGCAAUGGCAUAAGCCAGCUUGACUGCGAGCGUGACGGCGCGAGCAGGUGCGAAAGCAGGUCAUAGUGAUCCGGUGGUUCUGAAUGGAAGGGCCAUCGCUCAACGGAUAAAAGGUACUCCGGGGAUAACAGGCUGAUACCGCCCAAGAGUUCAUAUCGACGGCGGUGUUUGGCACCUCGAUGUCGGCUCAUCACAUCCUGGGGCUGAAGUAGGUCCCAAGGGUAUGGCUGUUCGCCAUUUAAAGUGGUACGCGAGCUGGGUUUAGAACGUCGUGAGACAGUUCGGUCCCUAUCUGCCGUGGGCGCUGGAGAACUGAGGGGGGCUGCUCCUAGUACGAGAGGACCGGAGUGGACGCAUCACUGGUGUUCGGGUUGUCAUGCCAAUGGCACUGCCCGGUAGCUAAAUGCGGAAGAGAUAAGUGCUGAAAGCAUCUAAGCACGAAACUUGCCCCGAGAUGAGUUCUCCCUGACCCUUUAAGGGUCCUGAAGGAACGUUGAAGACGACGACGUUGAUAGGCCGGGUGUGUAAGCGCAGCGAUGCGUUGAGCUAACCGGUACUAAUGAACCGUGAGGCUUAACCUU